CCUCUCUCAGGGUCUCACCUGGAGAGUUUCCAGUCCUCUACCAGGCUCGGCUACAGGAGGGAGAGUCAAGCAGAAUACCCAUUCCAUUCCUAGCUUGGGCAGUGGCUAGCGCAUGGAAGGCAAUCUGCUACAAGU
rfam:Ornithorhynchus anatinus chromosome 4, whole genome shotgun sequence.